GGCUUUAUAGUUUAAGUUAAAAUAUUAGACUGCAAUUCUAAAGAUGUAUUAUACUAAGGCUU
rnacentral:tRNA from 1 species